ensembl:snRNA U6 U6 spliceosomal RNA
GCGCUCGCUUAGACAGCACAUAUACUAAAAUUGGAACAAUACAGCAUGGUCCCUGCACAAGAAUUAUAUGCAAAUUCAUGAAGCGUUCCAUAUUUUU